AUCAUAAAUUUCAAAAUUAAAAACGACAUGUCGACCAACCCUCAAGGAUCGGUUCCAAAUAAAAACAUCGGCAUUUUCUUCCCCAAUCUUAGCGUCAGCUGGACUUCAAUGUCCAUCUCCUCUCUCUCUCUCUCCUCUCUCUGACAUCGAUUAACCUUUCAUCCUGAUUUUCUGUUUAAUUAGGACGAUGGGAAUUGAAUCAAGUAACGCACAAUUUCAGUUUCCAACCGUGUUUUUUCGCCUUCGGUCUUCAAGCGUUUUCAUGGCGUCGCUCCAUCGGUUACCAUCAAUCGCUUUGCUACCGACCCAUUUUCCAGCUGCCGCGAUCCACACGAGAGGCGUGGCGGCAAGAUCAUCCGGCUAGCUUCUCAUUGGUCGCUCUGAUUUUCAACCACGAUUAGACGAUGACUCUUCGCAGAAGUUUCUCCUGAAACAAUUUUGCGCCACUCGCAUUUUUGUUUGGUAGAUUCGUUUGCAGUUUAAACGUGCAACACUGAUGGUGAAAGAGGACUGAGAAGAAUUCAGAGCAAUGUAUCUGGAGAUGAAGUUAAGCCAUAAUGCCAAUUAUAAGCUACAGAUUGCUAAAUUUUCACAACGUUGUUUACUAUCCCUUCUAGUGCCACAGAUAUUUAUAAGAAAAGGCAAUCCCUCCCCCUCUCUGGAAGAGAACCAUAAAAGAAGAAAAAACAAAAGAAUUUAAUCCACUACCAUAGAAUAAUUUUUGAUACAA